rnacentral:rRNA from 1 species
CCUACGGGAGGCAGCAGUGGGGAAUAUUGGGCAAUGGACGCAAGUCUGACCCAGCAACGCCGCGUGAAGGAAGAAGGCUUUCGGGUUGUAAACUUCUUUUAAGGGGGAAGCGCAGAAGACGGUACCCCUUGAAUAAGCCACGGCUAACGACGUGCCAGCAGCCGCGGUAAUACGUAGGUGGCAAGCGUUGUCCGGAUUUAAUGGGUGUAAAGGGCGUGCAGCCGGGAAGACAAGUCAGAUGUGAAAUCCCGAGGCUCAACCGCGGAACUGCAUUUGAAACUGUUUGUCUUGAGUAUCGGAGAGGUAAGCGGAAUUCCUAGUGUAGCGGUGAAAUGCGUAGAUAUUAGGAAGAACACCAGUGGCGAAGGCAGAUUACUGGACGACAACUGACGGUGAGGCGCGAAAGCGUGGGGAGCAAACAGGAUUAGAUACCCUAGUAGUC